rnacentral:rRNA from 1 species
CAGCCGCCACGGUAAUACGGAGGGUGCAAGCGUUAAUCGGAAUUACUGGGCGUAAAGCGCACGCAGGCGGUCUGACAAGUCAGAUGUGAAAUCCCCGGGCUUAACCUGGGAACUGCAUUUGAAACUGUCAGGCUGGAGUCUUGUAGAGGGGGGUGGAAUUCCAGGUGUAGCGGUGAAAUGCGUAGAGAUCUGGAGGAAUACCGGUGGCGAAGGCGGCCCCCUGGACAAAGACUGACGCUCAGGUGCGAAAGCGUGGGGAGCAAACAGGAUUAGAGACCCGAGUAGUCCCUGUCUCUUAUAC